GUGGGGAAUAUUGGACAAUGGGCGCAAGCCUGAUCCAGCCAUGCCGCGUGAGUGAUGAAGGCCUUAGGGUUGUAAAGCUCUUUCAGUAGGGAAGAUAAUGACGGUACCUACAGAAGAAGCCCCGGCUAACUUCGUGCCAGCAGCCGCGGUAAUACGAAGGGGGCUAGCGUUGUUCGGAUUUACUGGGCGUAAAGCGCACGUAGGCGGUUUGUUAAGUCAGGGGUGAAAUCCCGGAGCUCAACUCCGGAACUGCCUUUAAUACUGGCAAGCUAGAGUCCGGAAGAGGUAAGUGGAACUCCUAGUGUAGAGGUGGAAUUCGUAGAUAUUAGGAAGAACACCAGUGGCGAAGGCGGCUUACUGGUCCGGAACUGACGCUGAGGUGCGAAAGCGUGUGGAGCAAACAGGAUUAGAAACCCGAGUAGUCC
rnacentral:rRNA from 1 species